GGGCGGUCGGCGAGGAUGCCGGUGGUGCACGCGGUGCGCUCGAGUACUUUAAGGUUGAGCCGGUGGCGUUUGUCCCACGGACCCGUCUGUGCAGCGGCAGAUGGUCUUCAGGAUCAUGUGGCUAUGGCAUAGAAGCGGAUUCAUGCGACCAGUCGGCAAGACGAGAUGACCUCCCCGGCAAGGUCACGCCGAUUGCAAGGCACUUCAGUGGUGGACUGGAUCGAUCUGUUUGACUUGACAGUUUGAUUGGUAAUCACAAAAUACUGCAGUUCAAUUUAAUUAAUUCAUCUCUACUCUAUUAUGCCGCCAAAGAUAAAGAUAUCUGAUGCUGAAGAACAGGAGAACAGAUCAGCAUGUUCACUUACAAGAUCGGUAGACUUCAAUAUUCAGUUACUAUGAUCAGUACGAGUAGGCCAAAAAAUCAAGGGCACUAUGACAGAUGGGGAAUAACUGAUAGUGUGUUCCCUUUUCUCAUUACACCACACGCCAUCCAGACAUAGCCGGACAAUUAUAAUAAGACGGUUCAAGCCGUGAGAAGACUCUCAGAUAGUGCAGAUUCUUUGUUGCACGUUGUCUAAUUAUGACACCGAGACUACUGAAUUUGUGCUGCUCUCCAUCACGUGCAUAUAAAUAAUGCAGCCGCGUCCUAAUUUUUGUGUUACUCAUGACUUUUGGGUCAAGCUUCUUUGUCAACCGUGCAGGUUGUUUGAUUAGUUGUUUGAUUAACAAGUAAUUCGCUGUGACCAUGGAGUUGGGCACUUGUGACGCAGCUUCUUCCUAGGCAUGAAGAAUCACUGUUCCCACAAGGUUCUGGAUGUCCUAAAUCUUAAGCCCAGAAAGGUUGUGCUUUAGUAAGUCAGGUGAUAUCUUACAUUGUUUGUGAAUUGGUUCAGUUAUUUUCUCUUGUCUUUUUGUUGCAUGCUUCUGAUUGUUAAUUGCGUGAAAACUGUAGAUACAGAAGCGCAUCAAAUCCGACUACAAAGUAGAGCACAGGUUUACAAAUGGUGGUGAAAGCAAAGCACUCUAUAUCCAUGAAAGGAAAUGGUAUUCAGAUUCAGAUGUCAAAGAAAAGUAAAUUAGGGAGUGCUGAUGGUGGGCUACAAGGGCGGUAAUCUUAAGAAAUUUGCAGGUACAUAACUACCUCAUAGAAGACAUAAUUAGUUUCAAUGUAGGAAAAUCUGUAGGCUGAUUAAGCUUUGAUGUAUAGUUAGUAGUAGCACUUCACUUGGGUAAAAAUAUUCAUGCUUAGCUUCUUCAACAGUAGUUUUUCUGAACAAUGCUGAAUUGAUAUUAGACUAAAACCUCAAGAAUACCUGAGGGUCAAAGGCAAGUGUUGUUUAUCAUGACUCGUGUUAUGAGAGUGCAAAAUAAAUUAUAGAGAAGUACAUAGCGUUGCCUUGGAAUAUUUAUUACUCACUGAUCUGCCUGUUCAUUUAAUGGCAUACACAAAAAUCUUUCUACUGUGUGCAUGCGUGUGUGUUCGAGUUGCUUCACACAAAUGGAUAGAUUGUUGUCUAUGAGUAUGCUUCUCUUUUUAUCAACUUAUGGAAAAUUAUACUAAUGGACAUGCUUUGUUUGCAAGAUUUAGAAAAGGAUUUAUAAAGUAUAUGCGUUACACAAUUAUUGUUACACUACUACAAAAUAUAUGCUCCCGUUGCAACACACGUACCUCCCUAUUAUAGAUCAAUAUAAAUGUAUGUUCCCGUUAUAACUAUACCUUUCUAGGUUACAUUACUCAGAGAUGGUGGCUGCAAACACUAAAAUACAACAUUAUGGAUGUAUUGAUGUAAUACACUAAUACUAUGUACUCCUUGGAGGUGCUGAAUAUAAAGUGAUCUGAUGUUGCGUGCUUUCCAAAAAAUGCAAUAAAAUAUGGAGACACAAGUUGCAUUAGGUGCUUAAUUCAUGGAGAGAAGGUUAUAUCUUCUUCGACAAGGACGCAGAGCAAGAUUUUCUUUGUAGAUCCUACCUUUUGAACAGAGCUUCUGACCUGAGCCUCCAUGUUUAGUAUAUACAUGACUUACUUCUGGUGCUGUUUUAACAUGUGCGUUCAGCUCUAUGCCUUUGUAAAAGUAGGCCGAAAUAAUAUUGCUAACACUUCUUAAGGGAUGCCAUUUUAGAUAAUUCCGUUUUCUUGUGGAGAACUUUUAA